ACCCUCCAGAUUUCUUCCCCCUCGGAUGGAAAUACUGGUCUGACUGGUGAUAGAAGGAGGAAAAGCAAAAUAUUGAAACUGGCUGAAAUUCUUUUAUGACCCAAGAGCUAGUCUAAAACAAAC
rnacentral:snoRNA from 1 species